rnacentral:snoRNA from 1 species
AGCUUUGGAGUGAUGAGUUUGUCAUGUCUCUUCUCUGACUGUCACUGGAGAAACAUUUACCUUCUCUGACCUUAGAAAAAUCU